UUCCCGAAGUUACGCUAAUGCUCUUGGAAGCAAAUAAGAGGGGCAACACUCGCGAAUCUUUGCAGUCUCGAUCGAUUCGCGUUACCCGGCACGCCACACGCCGACUUGCCGCGCCGUGCUGUUUCUGUUUAUUCCGUCGACAGACUCGUAUGAAAUUGCUGGCGGCCGUGGCCUCGCGUGCACACUAACAAAACAUCCUUCGAUCAAAAGGCGUAACAAAAGCCCAUUAAAAUCUUCUCUCGAAUCAGCGUGUAUUCGGUGGAACCAAUUCUCGCGGUUUGCCCCGGGAAAAUUUUCAUAUGAAAAAGCUGGAAUUUAACCAGAAAUCGUCUGGUCAGAGCCGGGAUGUACAGCGGGAUGUUUCGAAUUGGACGGGAAAGCCUGAAACGCGAUUCGCGAAAUACGUUUGGCAAGAGCGAAGAAUUCUCGGUGAAAAACCGUUGCGUUGCGUUGCGUUGCGUUGCGUCGCGUUGCAACGCGUAAAAAGCGGCGACCAGUUGCUAGCAUUGGCGAAUUUCGCCGCAGGAGCGAAGCGGCGCGCGAAACGAGAAGGGAGUACAGGACAGAGGAAAAUGGGAGGAGGCAAAGCUGGCAGCGGUAAAACGUGUCUGGCACACGCUUGGCCCCGACCGACGCCGCUGAAAAUUUCUUUUCCCUCGUUUUUUCAACCACCACCGACCAGAUGCAUAUACGUUCGUCCCCUGGUUUAUCCGUCUCUCCGCUUUUACGCUUUUCCUUCGCUCGCACACAGCGCUUCGCUUACGCUGUUCUUUCUGUCACGGGGAGAAGCUGAUAAAUGAUGCAAAUAAACAAAAUGAGAGAGAUUAAGGGAAGCCGAGAAGCAGAGAGGAGGAAACGAGACAGAACGAAAAGCGUGGCACGCUAGCAGAAGCUGGCCGCGAAAAACUGGAGCAAGAUCGUUUGCCGUGCAAUAACGUUCGCUAUUGGCCGGGAAGAUUAUUUUCGCUCGGGCCACCAACACCAGCGACAGAAAAUCUAUACCAACCGUAAACUAUUACAUAAUUACGAGAGCCUGUAUAUCCGGAACAAAGAACACGGUCGAAUCUCCGGUUCCGCUACUUUUACCCUCUCCGAUAUAAUAAUUUCAAGCUGCGCGAACAAGGCUAAUUUCCGUACCGGACACGUUCUCUCACUGAAUUUUUCCUUUUCAUCAUCGUUUUAUCCGCUGAGUUAUGUCUGACAGUCGAACGAGAAUAGAUCCGCGUCCGACGAAGUGCAUAUACGAGGUUACGAUGAAUGGCAGGUUCGCGAUGAACGAUAGACGGCAAGGAAGAGCUACUUCUCGGCUUCGCAAAUAUUUAGAGAAAGUAAGCGCGCUGUACCACGCCAAUCUUUAUCUGCGAGUAUCUCGAAAGUGAAAAAUUCACUGGAAGCUAAUCCAGCUGAUAAAUGGAAUUUUUUCUCUCGACCGGCUAAUCGAAUGAAAGCAACGGAGGAUACGGCGAGAGACGUAGAUACCAUCCAACUUCAAUUCAUCGUCUGAAACUAUCUGAAAAUACCGAUGGGUGCCAAGCAUAGGUCUUGCCGAUGAUUAUUUCUUCGAUCGUGGAUCGUAGUAA
rnacentral:misc_RNA from 1 species